GAUGAACGCUGGCGGCGUGCCUAACACAUGCAAGUCGAGCGAACCCUUCGGGGUGAGCGGCGGACGGGUGAGUAACGCGUGGGUAACCUGCCCUGUACACACGGAUAACAUACCGAAAGGUGUGCUAAUACGAGAUAAUAUGCUUUUAUCGCAUGGUAGAAGUAUCAAAGCUUUUGCGGUACAGGAUGGACCCGCGUCUGAUUAGCUAGUUGGUAAGGUAACGGCUUACCAAGGCGACGAUCAAUAGCCGACCUGAGAGGGUGAUCGGCCACAUUGGAACUGAGACACGGUCCAAACUCCUACGGGAGGCAGCAGUGGGGAAUAUUGCACAAUGGGCGAAAGCCUGAUGCAGCAACGCCGCGUGAGCGAUGAAGGCCUUCGGGUCGUAAAGCUCUGUCCUCAAGGAAGAUAAUGACGGUACUUGAGGAGGAAGCCCCGGCUAACUACGUGCCAGCCGCCGCGGUAA
rnacentral:rRNA from 1 species